rnacentral:ncRNA from 1 species
GUGUCGCGAUAGUAAUUCAACCUAGUACGAGAGGAACCGUUGAUUCACACAAUUGGUCAUUGCGCUUGGUUGAAAAGCCUGUGGCGCGAAGCUACCAUGUGCCAGAUUAUGAUUGAAUGCCUCUAAGUCAGAAUCCUGGCUAAACAUGCGAUGC